rnacentral:lncRNA from 1 species
AUUUGGACGUACGGCUGCUGCUCCCGGUAGCGAGUGAGGCGUGCCGCCGUUGGUACUCUCAAAUUACUCGUUCCUUUCUUUUUUGUUGCUACUUGCCCACUUUCACGCGUUUGUAAUAUCCCCGCCAUGACAUCCUUGGAGAAGGAGAGAAAUCUUUUUGGUCGUUGAGCGCGGAAGCAAGCAGCGUGCCAGCCUUGGUGCUGUCAACUUUCAUUGCACGCCUAGCAUAACUCCUCCAUGUAUCCUCGUUUUGGCCUUGACAAGGGAAUGGACAGCCCUAACGGCAAGGAACACCAUGAAGACAAGCGCUAGCUCUAAGAAGAAGUUAAAGCCACCGACUCUGCAGAAGGCGUUCACAGGAUCUUAAAAGCACAUCUGAGGGGUGGCCGGCUUCGUUCAAGCGUCCCACCUGGAGCGCAAGGCUGUCAUCAUUGUUAUGCUGGCACGAUUUUUCCACUGCCAAACGACAACAUAACGACACGAUUGCCCUUUCG